GAGACCAGCGGUUUAAUCAACAAAGCAGAAAAAUUUGUUUCUGCCGCAGCCAACAACAGCUUGAGAAAUCUUCAGAUGUCCAAUUGAGAUUAAAAACUGUCUAUUUAGUGCAGUCAGAUUUUAUUUUAACCAAGGAAAUGACUAUUUGAAGUCUUCCAAUGUGAGUGUCCCCACCACAUCCCCGCUGGUGCCGUGGGGACUAAUCACGGGCUGGGGUUGUGAUCACUCAAGUAAAGAAAUUUAGCGACUUUCCUCUUGACUUCAUCAUUCUUGGGUAAUUGGCCUGUCUGAGGAUGACAAUGAAAUGCUGUUAACUAUCCUUUGACUAUGAUCCUCUGAACAGGCUGAGAGUGGCCAUUAAGAAAUGAAAGCGAGUUUAGAUUUCACAGUAUGUUUGGAUUUGAUGACAUUUUGCAUUUCAAGAAACCAAGGUCAGCUCAACCCUUUUAGCACUGGGACCCAGAUACCACCAUGAUUUAAGCAAACUACCCCAGUGAAUUUAAAGAAGCUGUGCAAGGAGGAACAAUUGCCUAUGACAACUGUCUGUGAAGAAUAUUGUCAGAAAUUCUGAACUGCCCCAGAGCUGUGGCAAGGAAGUCCAGAGAUUAUUAUUGGGUAAUGACGUUGGAAAUAAAAAAGUAUAUAGUAUUACAGCAUUGAGCUAUUAGAAUAGAGAAUCAAUUCAAGGAGACAAGCAAAAUUUAUAUACUUUAUUGAUUUUAAAUUUUACAUGCUCUGCUAUAUGAGUAAAUCUUUUGUAGUAAUUCUGCAGCUUUGAAACAUUGUAAAUAACAGGGAUUGUGGGGAGUUCAGAAGAGCCAUUUUUUCAUACAGAAAGUAUAUAGCCUUUAAUGCAUAUUAGAAGAAAUUGGGGUAAUCAAAUUCCUUAAAGCUAACUUAAGUCUGAGCUAGUGCGGUUUGUUUUUUGUGUUUUGUUUUGUUUUGUUUUGUUUUUUUUGUCUCCAAAGGGUAAGCAUGUAUCAGGUAGUGAAGUAAUUCCAGGUAGCAUUGUACUUAAGGGAAAGCAUAAUUAAAUUGAUCCUAUUGUAUUACAUAAAUCCAACAUAUCCUGUGUAAACUCAGAAACAGGUGGCUCUUUGUAAAAAGUAGCUGGCUCUUAACCAAUUGAAGUAAAGUUUUCUCACACAAAAA